rnacentral:rRNA from 1 species
UACGUAGGGUGCAAGCGUUGUCCGGAAUUAUUGGGCGUAAAGAGCUCGUAGGCGGUCUGUUACGUCUGCUGUGAAAACCCGGGGCUUAACCCUGGGCUUGCAGUGGAUACGGGCAGACUAGAGGCAGGUAGGGGAGAAUGGAAUUCCCGGUGUAGCGGUGAAAUGCGCAGAUAUCAGGAGGAACACCGAUGGCGAAGGCAGUGGUCUGGGCCGAUACUGACGCUGAGGAGCGAAAGCGUGGGGAGCGAACAGG